AUUGAACGCUGGUGGCAGGCUUAACACAUGCAAGUCGAGCGGCAGCAAGCCUUCGGGCGUUGGCGAGCGGCGGACGGGUGAGUAAUGCAUAGGAAUCUGCCUGGUAGUGGGGGGAUAGCCCGGGGAAACUCGGAUUAAUACCGCAUACGCCUACGGGGAAAGGGAAGGGGAGUCUUCGGACCUUUCGUCUAUCAGAUGAGCCUAUGUCGGAUUAGCUAGUUGGUGAGGUAAAGGACUCACCAAGGCGACGAUCCGUAACUGGUCUGAGAGGAUGAUCAGUCACACUGGAACUGAGACACGGUCCAGACUCCUACGGGAGGCAGCAGUGGGGAAUAUUGGACAAUGGCCGCAAGGCUGAUCCAGCCAUGCCGCGUGCAGGAAGACGGACCGUAUGGUUUGUAAACUAGCUUUUGUAACGGGAGGAAAACCCCCU
rnacentral:rRNA from 1 species